AGCAGCCGCGGUAAUUCCAGCUCCAAUAGCGUAUAUUAAAGUUGUUGCAGUUAAAAAGCUCGUAGUUGAAUUUCGGAGUUUGUCGGUUGGUCGGGCUUCACUGUCCGCACUGGCCUGAUGGAUUCCUACCUUCUGAAUAACCAGCAUGCUAUUAAGUUAGUGCGUUGGGGAAGCAGAGCUAUUACCUUGAAAAAAUUAGAGUGCUUAAAGCAGGCUUUUGCUUGAAUAGAUUAGCAUGGAAUAAUAAAAUAGGACGGCAUGGUUCUAUUUUGUUGGUUUCUAGGAUCACCGUAAUGAUUAAUAGGGAUAGUUGGGGGCAUUAGUAUUCAAUUGUCAGAGGUGAAAUUCUUGGAUUUAUUGAAGACUAACUUCUGCGAAAGCAUUUGCCAAGGAUGUUUUCAUUAAUCAAGAACGAAAGUUAGGGGAUCGAAGACGAUCAGAUACCGUCGU
rnacentral:rRNA from 1 species